rnacentral:rRNA from 1 species
CUACGGGUCGCAGCAGUGAGGAAUAUUGCACAAUGGGGGGAAUCCUGAUGCAGCAACGCCGCGUGGAGGAUGACGCAUUUCGGUGUGUAAACUCCUUUUAUAUGUCAAGAAAAUGACGGUAGCAUAUGAAUAAGCACCGGCUAGACUCCGUGCCAGCAGCCGCGGUAAUACGGAGGGUGCAAGCGUUACUCGGAAUCACUGGGCGUAAAGGACGCGUAGGCGGGUUGGAAAGUCAGGUGUGAAAUCCUACAGCUUAACUGUAGAACUGCACUUGAAACUUCUAAUCUAGAGUAUGGGAGGGGGAGAUGGAAUUAGUGGUGUAGGGGUAAAAUCCGUAGAUAUCACUAGGAAUACCUAAAGCGAAGGCGAUCUCCUGGAACAUUACUGACGCUAAGGCGUGAAAGCGUGGGGAGCAAACAGGAUUAGAUACCCUCGUAGUC